UAUGAUUACUUGCUGUUAAUCACUUUUGCUCAGUGCUUUGCCUAGAACUGAGAGAAACACACAGGCAGGCAUUUAAUGUUUGUGAUAACCAGAAGCCAAUGCAACAGUUUCCUGGAAAGGAGCGUUUUUGUGUGGGUAGAUAUUUGGAUUUAUAUACGCACAUUUACUGCUUAUAAAGCUGCCUGAAAGGAAGACAUGCAGAAACAUUCGCUAAGAUGGUGUAGCUUCAAAUUUUCCAGAAACUCUUCAGCAAGAACUCACAAAAAAGGUGAUUUUGCAUGACUAAAUAUGGGUGUUUGUAACAUACACUUUAAGGAUAUGAGAUAUAACAAGUAGGAUCAACCUCCAUAGAUUGGAGGGUUUUUAUCACGUUCCUGUAUUAGCCACCUACCUAUGAUCUGAUUAAUCAGAUCCUAAACGCAGUUGACCAUAUUAACCAGAUUUCCUCUGACUAUCAGAGAUUUGGAUGAUUAGCUCAGAUGCAGACACCUGCAUUGUGGACAAUUAAAGAUUAAUAAUCAGGAUUAAUAUUCAUUUCCUUUAUUUUCAAACUUAAACUGCCAAAGGAUCUAAGGAUCUUCUAGUUUUUUGUUUUGUUUUGUUUUGUUUUGGGGGGAGGGGGGACUGGUUUUUUGUUUUGUUUUGUUUUGUUUUCCUGCUGUACCACUGCUUGAAAGAGGACUUUCUUAAAUGCACUCUCACUAAGGCAUUCCUAGUUCAGCAUUAUACUCAUUUGGCCAUUCAAGACAGUGAAUGGGAAAGAUUACACAGGAGUUCAGUAAUUUACUCCUAAUGCAGAGGUUAAACACCCCUUCAGUCCAAAGGAAACCUCUAUUAAUGCUUUGAGAAAGGCCAUAAAGGGAACGUGAAAUGCAAUACAUACAAUUCAAAGAGAGCACAAUUCUGUUCCAUUACAAAUUAUACUGUUCUUUGGAUUUCUUUUGUCCUACAAAACAGACUACUUCUUACAAUCAAUCUGCAAUGCCUAUCUUCACUUACUGAAGCUAAAAUCAACCUUCAUGCUCAGCAAAAUGGGUAAAUUCUCAACACCACCUCUUAUGCAGCUGAUGGUUUGCCUUACCUCUGUAAAAAUGAAGUCUAUCUGGAAGACUGUGUUGCUAGUCCUCCUGCUUCAAAACCAGCAC
rnacentral:lncRNA from 1 species